rnacentral:rRNA from 1 species
GAUGAACGCUGGCGGCGUGCCUAAUACAUGCAAGUCGAGCGAACGGACGAGAAGCUUGCUUCUCUGAUGUUAGCGGCGGACGGGUGAGUAACACGUGGAUAACCUACCUAUAAGACUGGGAUAACUUCGGGAAACCGUAGCUAAUAACGGAUAAUAUUUUGAACCGCAUGGUUCAAAAGUGAAAGACGGUCUUGCUGUCACUUAUAGAUGGAUCCGCGCUGCAUUAGCUAGUUGGUAAGGUAACGGCUUACCAAGGCAACGAAGCAUAGCCGACCUGAGAGGGUGAAUCGGCACACUGGAACUGAGACACGGUCCAGACUCCUACGGGAGGCAGCAGUAGGGAAUCUUCUGCAAUGGGCGAAAGCCUGACGGAGGAACGCCGGGUGAGUUAUGAAGGUCUUCGGAUCGUAAAACUCUGUUAGUAGGGAAGAACAUAUGUGUAAGUAACUGUGCACAGCUUGACGGUAACUAAUCAGAAAGCCACGGCCAACUACGUG